GAUGAACGCUAGCGGCAGGCCUAAUACAUGCAAGUCGAACGGUAAGGCCCUUUCGGGGGUACGACGAGUGGCGGACGGGUGCGUAACGCGUAUGCAACAUGCCUUCCAGCGGGGGAGUAUACCAGGGAAACGUUGGCGCAAUACCCCACUAGAAUUACGGGACCGCAUGGUCUUGUGAUUAAAACUACCGGUGCUGGGAGGAUUGGCAUGCGUGACAUUAGCUAGUUGGCGGGGUAACGGGCCCACCAAGGCGACGAUGUCUAGCUGGUCUGAGAGGAUGAUCAGCCACACUGGGACUGAGACACGGCCCAGACUCCUACGGGAGGCAGCAGUAGGGAAUAUUGGACAAUGGGGGGAACCCGUGAUCCAGCCAUGCCGCGUGGA
rnacentral:rRNA from 1 species